rnacentral:rRNA from 1 species
GAUGAACGCUGGCGGCGUGCCUAAUACAUGCAAGUAGAACGCUGAAGGAGGAGCUUGCUCUUUCCGGAUGAGUUGCGAACGGGUGAGUAACGCGUAGGUAACCUGCCUGGUAGCGGGGGAUAACUAUUGGAAACGAUAGCUAAUACCGCAUAACAGUAGAUAUUGCAUGAUAUUUGCUUGAAAGGGGCAAUUGCUCCACUACCAGAUGGACCUGCGUUGUAUUAGCUAGUUGGUGAGGUAACGGCUCACCAAGGCGACGAUACAUAGCCGACCUGAGAGGGUGAUCGGCCACACUGGGACUGAGACACGGCCCAGACUCCUACGGGAGGCAGCAGUAGGGAAUCUUCGGCAAUAGACGGAAGUCUGACCGAGCAACGCCGCGUGAGUGAAGAAGGUUUUCGGAUCGUAAAGCUCUGUUGUAAGAGAAGAACGAGUGUGAGAGUGGAAAGUUCACACUGUGACGGUAUCUUACCAGAAAGGGACGGCUAACUACGUG